rnacentral:lncRNA from 1 species
UAAGAGGAGAUAGCAAAAAGGAGAAAAGAAUGAAAAUACGGAGAAAAUGAAGAACAAAACUAACGUCAGAUUUUUCUUUUAGAAGAGAGAGAAAAUUUUGAAAAAAAUAAAACAAAAUAAACAAUUUGAUUACAAUCCCAACUCCUCAAUAACAACUUAGCCUCAACUACCUCAGAAUUUUGAGACCACUCAAACUCUCUCAGCCAACCGAAACAAAAAUUAACACCCUCGCUCUCGCAAAGAUUCAAACACAAGACCUUUAGCACAAUAACCC